ACAAUCAGCCUUAUUGAUAAAUUUGCAAACUAGAAAAAAGCUAUCCACAAUUUCAAACAUUCUAAUCUAUCCUUUGAUAUCUGAUCUGGCUAAGCUAGGAUUUUGUUGAAAAGACUGCAUGCCAACUGAAUAUAUUCUACAUAUCUAUGGAGAAGGGUCAAAACCCAACUGUGGCAUGCAACUUGCAAAGCAUUCAGAAAGAGAUCAAGGCAUCAUUAUCUGAUCCCUAUCCCCACCCUCUUGUCCACACUAUAAAUACUUGGUGCACACUAGCUGAAAUGGCAAGCAAUUAAGGGCAGUUAAUUAAGCAGAGUAAACUUGUGAGGAGGGUAGCCUUACAUGGAGAUGAGGAGAUUGCCUCUGUUAGCCAAGAAUGGCUUGCCUAUCUCCACUAUUUGGUUCAUCACUGGAACACACUUGGGGUUCUCAGAUGGUGGAUGAAAUAUGGAAGAUGGUGAGCCUUCCUGGCUAAGAGAGUGAUUCUCAUCCCCCAUGCUAGGCUGUAUCCCUCUUUCUAGCUCUCAACAUCUCGCGAUCUUCGGUAGGUGAUUCUUUCAGUUCUUUGAUCUAAUUCUAGGUAAGAUUCCAUUCUUCAGAUCAUCCAUCACAAAUUCAGAGUAUGGUGUGAAGAAUUGAGGUGAUAAGGGAAGUACAGAAAGGCUUGAAAUGCAAGCUGAAAAGGAACAGUGAUAUGUUCUUGAAAAGAUAGAACUGCUCAACUCCUCAUUUGUUUCUCCUUCUCCUAAGCUGUGGAAUAUGUGUUGUCAUUGCAUCAAACCAUUUCCGAUGACACGCCAUUUUAAGCCAAAUAAUUUGGUUCUGAUAAUUAUUCACUCUCAUAUCAUUUCAUUGCAUAACUUAGUAGUAACAAUGCAUAUGGUUGAGAAUAUCAUUUUAGUGCUUUAUGUGGAGAAUGAGCUCCCAGGCAAAUGGGAGGGGAAAGUGAUUUCUGACGCGUACUUGUUGAAAAUGAGCUGCCUUGGGCCGGGCUUGCCUUAGCUCUCUCAUUCCAAGCUAAAGACCUUUUAUAUCUUUGUAAAUAUUUGGUUUUUCCAUGAUGAUAUUCAUGGGCUUUCUCGGGUCUAGACCCUGUGCUGAAGCCCUAGCAGAGAGCUCAGGCUCAUCUUGGCCCCUGUAAACCUCUCCAGAUGGUACUAGUUACUACAAAAGCUGAAAAUACAUAUUUUUGCCAGCAAGAAAUUUUGACCAUCAUAUCCUGUUCUUUCCAGAAAUGCGAUCCAUCAAGUUCCCAAAAGGUUAUAAAAGAUAUAGUACUGAUGAAAGUGAGAAAAAAAUAUUAAUUGAUUUACCUGGUGUAGAGUACUAGAGUACAAUGUACCUUUUAUGAACAUCAUUGCAUAGUGAUUUUGUGCCAUUUUGUGCAGCUUGAACCAUAUUACAUGAGGUUGCAUGAAAUUUACCCUUAAAUAAUUUAUACAUAAAUUUAGCAGUUUUACACCACUAUUUGUGGGUCUAUGUGCUCAGUACCCAACAUUUUACAUUCGCAGGUCAAAAUUCACGCUGCAGAGACAAAGAUACCACUGAUUUGGGGGUGGAAAAUCCCCUAUCGGCACUAAGGAAAACACAUUUUUGGUGUUUCUGCGAUAGCAGGAUGCCUUAUUUAGAUGCCAACAUUUCACUAUCUAUAUACUACUAUAAAAGACAAUAGUGAUGGUGGUGGUUCUGCACCGACCCCCACCACCACUACAUUUGCACGUCUUACAAAUUAGUCGUUGAUAUUUUAUAAUAGUAUAUAACACCUAAUAUUUGUUUGAAUCAAGUGAAUAGCAUGUAUUCAAAUAAGUAUGUGCAUUUUACCAUAGCAAAGCAUUGGCAUUUUGUUAGUGAUCCUAGAAGUUGGGAGAGAUAUCAGUACAAUUAAUUGAGCCUUCCAAGUUCAACAAGUCCAUCUCACACAAGGUACCCCUUGAUAAUGCAGCAUGGUCUUGCCAAGUCACUAAUCCUUAUGGGAUGCACAUACGUACCACUACUGGAGAAACCAUCUUUAGCGAGUCGGCCAAAUUCCACAAUAGCCCCGGUUCUUUAAAAAAUCGGGACUAAAAAGCACUUUUAGUCCUGGUUUAUAACUGCAAUGGGACUAUGUGAUCUUUAAUCCCGGUUCACCUCAUGUCAGAGGCUGUCAGACCGCCGGGGAUCUAUCUUAACUUUAGCCCCCUAAAGUCCAUGUAGAUCUUUACACUCGGAUGAUAAAACCAACUGGAGCUAAAGUUAGCAACCUUUAUAUAGGUCUUCUUCCUCCUCCAGUUCGAGCCAUGCUUCAAAAUUUCAAGAGGAGGAGGGGAGGUGCUGCCAAAAUUUCUUGUAAAUUUAUUUUGGUGAUAAUAUACAAAUCGGAGGGAUCUAAAAGAUGGAUUGGCAAUGGAUAUACACCGCGGACCGAUGGUCGAAAGAGUUUGUUGACGGCGUGCAUUUUUUUUUAGUGUGGCCGAUGCUAACAAGCAUAAGGGUUUUAUAUGUUGUCCAUGUGAUAAGUGCAAAAAUCAGAAGGAGUAUUCUACAUUAAAAACUAUUAUUUCCGCUUGUUUAAGUCGGGGUUCAUGUCUAGCUAUAAUUGGUGGACCUAGCACGGAGAGCUAGGGGUUGAAAUGGAAGAAAAUGAAGUAAAAGACGAGAACAUUCCGAACUGGGCUCGGUACAGUGGAUUUGAAGAAAAUACAACGGGUGAUGUGGAUGGGGCUGUUGAAGAUAACAACGCUAUAAAUGAUCUUGGUCAGAUGUUGCGGGACAUCAAAGAGAACUGGGAAAGUGAAAAGGAGGUCCAGCGGGACGCCCUCGACGUCUCUCUUCUCAACGCAUGGGCUUUAUUCAAAAGGGCCGUAGGCAAGGUAAUUACAAUACUGGAUUCAUCGACCCCCACAAAGUUAACACGAAAUGAUCACCAAGUAUGAGAAAGACACAGAGGACAAUCUUCUCCAUUUCCUAGUGCAACAGCAUUUCAAGUCGUUCAUAUUACUGCCGUACAACACAGAAUUCCAUUGGGUCCUUUUUCUUUUCGGCCUUGACACAUGCAGAGUCCAUGUAUAUGACUCAAUGGAUAAACCGGAGUCUACGUUCACAAAGAUUUUUGAAGUGAUAGACAGAUAAUGCCAUCUAUUCCACUGUCAUUAUGAAAUUUGCUAUUGCUACUAUGCUGAUCUUAGAUAAUAAUUAAUCAGAGCUUGCAACUGUACGUAUGGUAUGGGCUUGGUUCCGUGAAUUGGUCACAGGGUCUUAGAAAGAAAAACUUAGUCAGAGGUUUGAUUUUCCAGUGAGUAGAUGCUCCAAAAUUAUAUUGAAUCAUUAAUUUGCUCUAAAAUAGAAAUGUAUAUUAAAUCUCUCAUCGUUUCUCCUUUAGUGUGCAAAGCAGGACCAGGGGAAUAACUUCUGCAGCUACUACAUCACGUCUGCAAGUAUACCCACUGCCUAUCAACCCAAAUCUACGGUAACAAGGAAUUGAAUAUUAUUUAUAUGAGGGACAGACUCAUCCAUGAAGAUUUUAUAAGGGCAGUCCAAGAACAACUGAUGGGUUUUAUCAACGAACAAAUUAUUGAUCCUGCGGGUGAAUUCUACUACGACGGGUAGUGUCGGUCCUUCUUCUUCUGAGAUAACAUCGAAGUAGUAUAUGAUGGAAACAUUAGAUAUAAGGUCUGAAGGAAUUGUAAUAUAUGUAUAUAUUUAUAUAUGUAGACAUUUACUUAAUUGUAAAUAUAUAUUUUGGUAAUAUAUGUAUAUAUUUAGUUAAGUGCUUAUAUAUGUGUGCUAAGGAGUUACACAAAAAUGUAAUUUAAAAUAAUUAAUG